rnacentral:rRNA from 1 species
AGAGUUUGAUCCUGGCUCAGAACGAACGCUGGCGGCAGGCCUAACACAUGCAAGUCGAGCGCUGUAGCAAUACAGAGCGGCGCACGGGAUAGUAACGCGUGGGAACCUACCUUUUGGUUCGGAAUAACAUCGGGAAACUGGUGCUAAUACCGGAUAAGCUUCGGGGGAAAGAUUUAUUGCCGAAAGAUGGGCCCGCGUUG